UGGGGGAAGAGGGCGUGACUGGUGCCUGAGAGCCCCUCCAACCUCCAUCGUGCAGAAUGUGCAGCAGGACACCCCAUUCCUGCCAUCUCCUAUGUCUGAAACAAACAGGUCCUGUUUAACCUCUGCACAGAAACUGCCGGCUUCAGCUCGGGUCCAGGGCCUUACCUGCCAUGGGUAAAACAGAGGCCCAGGGCCAAGGAUGUACACGUGGGAUGAACCAGACUUCCCGCCCCACUUCCUUUACCCUAAUGCUGUUACCCCCUUGGAAAGCGGUUUAAAUGGUGUGGCCCCCACUUCCAGAGUAUCAGCUAUUACAGCAGGAACCUUCUUCCACUGUUAUUUGUUGCCAUAGCCCAGUACACAGCAGGCCCUCAAUAAAUAAUUAAUGAGGGGCUGGUGAGGUGGCCGUUAAGAGUGCCGACUGGGGGCUGGUGAGAUGGC